UACAGAGGAGCCAAGCGUUGUCCGGAUUGACUGGGCGUAAAGCGCACGCAGGCGGUUGCGCGCGUGGGGUGUGAAAUCUGGCCGCUUAACGGCCAGGCGCCAUCCCAUACGGCGCGACUGGAGUGAUGCAGAGGUCGAUGGAAUUGCCGGUGUAGUGGUGAAAUGCGUAGAGAUCGGCCAGGGAACACCCAGGGGGAAACCAGUCGACGUGGGCAUCUACUGACGCUGAGGUGCGAGAGCGUGGGGAGCGAACCGG
rnacentral:rRNA from 1 species